ensembl:snRNA U6 U6 spliceosomal RNA
UUGUGCUCACUUCGGCACACAUAUACUAAAAAUUGGAACGAUACAGAGAAGAUUUGCAUGGCCAAUCAAAAGAAAUAAUAAUAAUAAUAAUAAUUUUUU